AACAAACCUUUUUUGGUGAGACUGCAGAUUUUCUUUGGCUGCUUCUCCUUGGAUGAGCUUCCCUGUUGGUCCUGUAAUUCCCAGGUUCCAGUCAACAGUUAUCAUGAGGACCUUCCACCUGGUUUUCAUGAUACUUUUUGUGAUCAUCUACAGUACUGACACAGAUUUUAGUUUCCUAAAUCAAAGUCAUGAAUGUGUGCAAAGUGGAGGCAGAUGUCGUAUAAGUAAAUGCAAACCACCAACUGUUUCCUCGGGAAUGUGUAAUUUUGAUGUUGAACAUUGUUGUGUACCACCAGAUGUUGCUAAUAGGAGACGAAAACGUUAUAAAUGGAAAUUUUUGGAUAUGGAAGUAUAAUAAAGCAUAAUAAAAAUAUAAAAAAUCAAAGAAG